UACGGAGGGUGCGAGCGUUAAUCGGAAUUACUGGGCGUAAAGCGCGCGUAGGCGGUUUGUUAAGUUUGAUGUGAAAGCCCUGGGCUUAACCUGGGAACUGCAUUGGAGACUGGCAGGCUAGAGUGUGGUAGAGGGGUGUGGAAUUUCCGGUGUAGCAGUGAAAUGCGUAGAGAUCGGAAGGAACACCAGUGGCGAAGGCGGCACCCUGGACCAACACUGACGCUGAGGUGCGAAAGCGUGGGGAG
rnacentral:rRNA from 1 species